rnacentral:rRNA from 1 species
CCUACGUGUGGCAGCAGUGAGGAAUAUUGGUCAAUGGAUGAGAGUCUGAACCAGCCAAGUAGCGUGAAGGAUGACUGCCCUAUGGGUUGUAAACUUCUUUUAUAUGGGAAUAAAAUGUUCCACGUGUGGGAUUUUGUAUGUACCAUAUGAAUAAGGAUCGGCUAACUCCGUGCCAGCAGCCGCGGUAAUACGGAGGAUGCGAGCGUUAUCCGGAUUUAUUGGGUUUAAAGGGUGCGCAGGCGGAAGCGGCAAGUCAGCGGUAAAAUUGCGGGGCUCAACCUCGCCGAGCCGUUGAAACUGCUCUUCUAGAGUGGGCGAGAAGUAUGCGGAAUGCGUGGUGUAGCGGUGAAAUGCAUAGAUAUCACGCAGAACUCCGAUUGCGAAGGCAGCAUACCGGCGCCCAACUGACGCUCAUGCACGAAAGCGUGGGUAUCGAACAGGAUUAGAUACCCCGGUAGUC